GCGUGGCGUGGCGUGGCUAGCUAUGGUCUGUGAAUUCGUUUACUUUGUUAAUUUAGUGGUCCUUCAGGUUAAAACGUGUAAUAGUGGAGAUUUACUUAUCAUAGUAUCUAUGAAAGCGCAUAAAUGU